rnacentral:misc_RNA from 1 species
GUGAGUCAUCGAAUCUUUGAACGCACCUUGCGCUCCUUGGUAUUCCGAGGAGCAUGCCUGUUUGAGUGUCAUGAAAUUCUCAACCUCUCUGAUUAAGUGAGGCUUGGAUUUUGGGAGUUGCUGGCUUCUUUAGAUGUCAGCUCUUCUUAAAUAUAUUAGCAAGACCUUAUGCUGAUUCGUCUUUGGUAAUGAUAAAUUAUCUAUACCUUUGAGAACCAGAAUUGCUUCUAAUAGUCUAUUUUUGGACAACUUGAAAAAUUUGACCUCAAAUCAGGUAGGACUACCCGCUGAACUUAAGCA